UUUAAAUUGAGAGUUUGAUCCUGGCUCAGGAUGAACGCUGGCGGCGUGCCUAAUACAUGCAAGUCGUACGCUAGCCGCUGAAUUGAUCCUUCGGGUGAAGUGAGGCAAUGACUAGAGUGGCGAACUGGUGAGUAACACGUAAGAAACCUGCCCUUUAGUGGGGGAUAACAUUUGGAAACAGAUGCUAAUACCGCGUAACAACAAAUCACACAUGUGAUCUGUUUGAAAGGUCCUUUUGGAUCGCUAGAGGAUGGUCUUGCGGCGUAUUAGCUUGUUGGUAGGGUAGAAGCCUACCAAGGCAAUGAUGCGUAGCCGAGUUGAGAGACUGGCCGGCCACAUUGGGACUGAGACACUGCCCAAACUCCUACGGGAGGCUGCAGUAGGGAAUUUUCCGCAAUGCACGAAAGUGUGACGGAGCGACGCCGCGUGUGUGAUGAAGGCUUUCGGGUCGUAAAGCACUGUUGUAAGGGAAGAAUAACUGAAUUCAGAGAAAGUUUUCAGCUUGACGGUACCUUACCAGAAAGGGAUGGCUAAAUACGUGCCAGCAGCCGCGGUAAUACGUAUGUCCCGAGCGUUAUCCGGAUUUAUUGGGCGUAAAGCGAGCGCAGACGGUUUAUUAAGUCUGAUGUGAAAUCCCGAGGCCCAACCUCGGAACUGCAUUGGAAACUGAUUUACUUGAGUGCGAUAGAGGCAAGUGGAACUCCAUGUGUAG
rnacentral:rRNA from 1 species